GACGAACGCUGGCGGCGUGCUUAACACAUGCAAGUCGAACGGGUCUGCCCUGUUUUUUGCGGGGUGGGUCAGUGGCGAACGGGUGAGUAACACGUGAGUAACCUGCCCCUCACUUCUGGAUAACCGCUUGAAAGGGUGGCUAAUACGGGGUGUUCUGGCUGUGCCGCAUGGUGUGGCUGGGAAAGAUUCACUUUUGUGGUGUUUUGGUGGGGGACGGGCUCGCGGCCUAUCAGCUUGUUGGUGGGGUGAUGGCCUGCCAAGGCUUUGACGGGUAGCCGGCCUGGGAGGGUGGGCGGUCACACUGGGACUGAGAUACGGCCCAGACUCCGGCGGGAGGCAGCAGUGGGGGGUAUUGCACAAUGGGCGGAAGCCUGAUGCAGCGACGUCGCGUGAGGGAUGGAGGCCUUCGGGUUGUGAACCUCUUUCGCCGGUGAAGAAGGUCCUGCUCUUUGUGGUGGGGUUGACGGUAGCCGGGUUAUGAAGCGCCGGCUAACUACGUA
rnacentral:rRNA from 1 species